AAGGUGACCAGGUGAGAGCAAAGCCCAACUUCCUGGGGAAAAGCUCUCAGCGCAGUGAAUGCUACAUUCGGAGGUAGGAAGGCUCUGGAUGUGAGUCUUCAUGUUUGUUUUUUGUUUUUUGUUUUUUUUUCUCUAAAAUUACCAAAAAAGAGGAAUAUCCACAGAAGCAGAAGUAGGAAUGGGGAAGGAGGGGACAAGUUUAGACCAAGCUCUUCUGUGACCUCACUUCUGCUUUUGAAGUCCCACAGCUCUAUAAGCUUGGAUCUCCUGACCUUGGCCUGGACCUGGAUCUGGGAGGCUGACUCUAUUGACCAUGGGGAAGGAGCUAACAGGAUUGAACCUCAGGACCGUCCUCUGCAAAAUGAGGAAUUUAGGCUAGCACAGUGGUUCUCAAAGUGUGGUCCCCAGACCAGCGACCUCAGCAUCGCCCUGGAACUAGUUAGAAAUGCACAUUCUCUGGUCCCAACCCAGACCUACUGAACCAGUGCCUCUGGGAGUGGAUCCCAGAAAUCUGUGUUUUAACACACGUGCUAUCUAGGAGGUUCUGAUGCAGGCCAAAGUUCGAAAACCGCUGAACUGGAAGAUCUCUAAAAUUCCUCCUAGGAGAUAAACCUUUAAGACUUGCUAUAAGAAUUAAGUGCCAUGAUUAUGGUGCAUAUUAUUUAUGAAACUUGUUCAAUGUGCCCUGCCCUUCCUAUUCAUUAUCUCUACAACCUCCUUCUAAAAUAAGUAUCAAUUAAAAGUAUUUUCCAAAUGAGCAAAAGGAGGCCCGGAGAGGUUAAAUAAUUCAUCAGGAGACACGCAGCUGGAGAUGAACAGGAGGAGGAUUUGAAUGGGAAGCCAUCUCAGUGUGCUCUCUCUACUACCUCCCAUGAGCAAACACAGUGACAAGUGAACUCAAUGAAUAUCAUUUUCCGGUGAUUCUGUGACCUUUGAGUACCUGCAUCCUCCUACCUUAACCAACUUUGCCAGCCUCCUUCACUGCCCUACCUGAUCGACAGUAAUUUCCAGCUCUCUUCCUUCCCCCAUGCUCAGCCCAACACCCAGCCCUGGCUUUCUCACCUUCCUGGGACCCCCUGCGUUCCACGGUAGUGAACAGAGACACACGACAGCCAUUCCGUGGAUCUACAGUGACUGUUCUCCUGGACACAGAGCCAACGUGGCUACUGAAGGAAAGAGGCCAGUCCUAAGUUCAGGAUCUGUGACGGCCUGGAAAAUGUACUCUGUCCCCCCACAACCUCCCGCUACAACCUCCCCCUAAAAGAAAAACUUUCUACAGGUGAUGUUGAGAUUGCCACAGGCUUUGGUCCUCACAGACUGCAAAUACCUAUGGGAGAAAGAAUGCUUCCACAGAGGAGCGCCGAGGGGAAGGAGAGCACCUCACUGGGAUGGGAUGGGAGUGGGGUGACAGCACCGCCCAGAGGCAUACAAGCUGGCCUCUCUCUGGUUUUGUGGAGGCGGCCCUUGCUGGUAUCCUAGAGUUGUCUCCCUGGCCUGCUUAGCAACGCACAGCUCCUAGGGGCCAUCACCCACUAGGAGGGCAGGGCCUUUUGUCUUUUUUUUUUUUUUUUUUUUUGAGACAGAGUCUCUGUCUAUCACCCCAGCUGGAGUGCAGUAGCAUGAUCUCGACUCACUGCAACCUCCGCCUCCCGGGUUCAAGCGAUUCUCCUGCCUGCCUGAGCCUCCUGAGUAGCUGGGAUUACAGGAGUACGCCACCAAGCCCGGCUAAUUUUUUAUUUUUAGUAGAGAUGGGGUUUCACCAUGUUGGCCAGGCUGGUCUCAAACUCCGGACCUCAUGAUCCACCCACCUUGGCCUCCCAGAGUGCUGGGAUUACAGGUGUGAGCCACUGCACCCGGCCAGAUUUUUGUCUUUUUACUGUUGUAUCUCCCCACAUAGUAAGUGCCUAAUCAAUUGAGUUGAAUAAAUGAAUUCUUG
rnacentral:lncRNA from 1 species